rnacentral:rRNA from 1 species
GACGAACGCUGGCGGCGUGCUUAAUACAUGCAAGUCGAACGCCCUCGACCUUCGGGUCACAUGAGGGGGUGGCGAACGGGUGCGUAACACGUGGGCAACCUGCCCCUGACUCUGGGAUAACUUCGGGAAACCGAAGCUAAUACCGGAUACGACCUCUUUGGGCAUCCUUAGAGGUGGAAAGUUUUUCGGUCAGGGAUGGGCCCGCGGCCUAUCAGCUUGUUGGGGGGGUAAUGGCCCACCAAGGCGACGACGGGUAGCCGGCCUGAGAGGGCGACCGGCCACACUGGGACUGAGACACGGCCCAGACUCCUACGGGAGGCAGCAGUGGGGAAUAUUGCGCAAUGGGCGAAAGCCUGACGCAGCGACGCCGCGUGAGGGAUGAAGGCCUUCGGGUUGUAAACCUCUUUCAGCAGGGACGAAGCGAAAGUGACUGUACCUGCAGAAGAAGCACCGGCUAACUACGUGCCAGCAGCCGCCGCAG